rnacentral:tRNA from 1 species
AAGAAAUUAGUUUAAAAAAACAUUAACUUGUCAAGUUAAAAAUAUCAUUAGAUAUUUCUUA